rnacentral:rRNA from 1 species
AGCUCCAAUAGCGUAUAUUAAAGUUGUUGCAGUUAAAAAGCUCGUAGUCGGAUUUUGGCAUCACGCCGCACUGUCUGCCGAUUGGUAAGUACGGUUUGGCGGGUGCUUCCUUCCGGUGCUGCGUUCUGCUCUUAGUUGAGCGGUUCGUUGGUUCCGGUUCUUUUACUUUGAGAAAAUUAGAGUGUUCAAAGCAGGCCUAUGCUCUGAAUAGGUUAGCAUGGAAUAAUAGAAUAGGACUUUGGUUCUAUUUUGUUGGUUUCUAGGACCGAAGUAAUGAUAAAUAGGGACAGUUGGGGGCAUUCAUAUUCCAUUGUCAGAGGUGAAAUUCUUGGAUUAACGGAAGAUGAACUUCUGCGAAAGCAUCUGCCAAGGAUGUUUUCAUUG